rnacentral:rRNA from 1 species
CAGUUAAAAAGCUCGUAGUUGGAUUUCUGGCACGGUGCGCCUGGUCCGCCGCCCUCGAGGUGUGUGAGUACCGGCGCGCGCCUGCCAUCCUUCGCGGGUCGGCGCCUCCCCUUCACUGGGCGCGGGCGUCGGGCCGCGAUCGUUUACUUUGAAAAAAUUAGAGUGUUUCUAGCAGGCGUUGUCGCCGUGAAUACAUUAGCAUGGAAUAAUAAGAUAGGACUUGGGUUCUAUUUUGUUGGUUUCUAGGACCGAAGUAAUGAUUGACAGAGACAGUUGGGGGUGCUGGUAUUCACGGGCCAGAGGUGAAAUUCUUGGAUUCCGUGAAGACCAACUUAUGCGAAAGCAUUCACCAAGGAUGUCUUCUUUAAUCAAGAACGAAAGUUGGGGGAUCGAAGACGAUCAGAUACCGUCGUAGUCUCAACCAUAAACGAUGCCGACUAGGGAUCGGAGGUCGUUGUUUUAUGACACCUUCGGCACCUUACGAGAAAUCACAAGUGUUUGGGUUCCGGGGGGGAGUAUGGUCGCAAGUCUGAAACUUAAAGGAAUUGACGGAAGG